CUGGAGGCUAGGCUGGGCCAGUAGCGGCGGCCUGAAAAAUUGAAAUGCUUUGUUGAGAUGUUUAAAGCUUGCAUUUCAUUCCAGGAACCGGAAGUCCGCUUUAGCCGGAGCUGAAAUCUGUAUGCGGCAUUUAUGUUGUCUGCGGUCUGCAUGCUGAACUGCGAAGCCCAGUCCUGUGGGAUUCUGGUAUGGUGAAACGGGUCAGGGCAGGAAUGCAGCAGCCCUAAGCUGUAUUCAGGGUGCUCAUAGGGGUGCUGGGUGGAGUGAUGCUUGCAGAGCAACCUCAGGCAUCAUAUAUGUACAACUACAGGCUGCCUCCAA
rnacentral:SRP_RNA from 1 species